AUGUGCCUACGGGACGCAGCAGUGAGUUAUAUUGGUUUUUGGGCUUCCGCCUGAACCAGCCAAGUCGCGUGAGGGAAGACUGCCCUAUGGGUUGUAAACCUCUUUUGUCAGGGAGCAAUUGGCGCUACGUGUAGCGUUAUCGAGAGUACCUGAAGAAAAAGCAUCGGCUAACUCCGUGCCAGCAGCCGCGGUAAUACGGAGGAUGCGAGCGUUAUCCGGAUUUAUUGGGUUUAAAGGGUGCGUAGGCGGAAUGCCAAGUCAGCGGUAAAAUCGCGGGGCUCAACCUCGCUCCGCCGUUGAAACUG
rnacentral:rRNA from 1 species